UCGUGUAGGCGGGGCGCUAGGGGUGCCCUGUACCCGAAAUCCUCUCCAUGCGGGGCUUAAUCCCCCGCCCGAGGGGCACGACACGCCGGGGGGUUCAUCCCCUGACGGUGGAACCGGGGUGUUGACGGUCGGGUCCUCGGCGGCGGAGCGCCGCGAACCGGGUCAGGUCCGGAAGGAAGCAGCCCUAAGUGGUUGGCUCCGGGUGUCGGGGACAGCCCGGCCCGAGCCAACGGACGCCGCACCGGCGCCCACCGUGUCUCGACGGCGGGGUCACGA
rnacentral:SRP_RNA from 1 species